UUGGGAGGGGGAGAGAGCAGCU
rnacentral:miRNA from 1 species